rnacentral:rRNA from 1 species
CGGGCGGACGGGUGAGUAACGCGUGGGUAACCUACCCUGUACACACGGAUAACAUACCGAAAGGUAUGCUAAUACGGGAUAAUAUAUUUGAGAGGCAUCUCUUAAAUAUCAAAGGUGAGCCAGUACAGGAUGGACCCGCGUCUGAUUAGCUAGUUGGUAAGGUAACGGCUUACCAAGGCGACGAUCAGUAGCCGACCUGAGAGGGUGAUCAGCCACAUUGGAACUGAGACACGGUCCAA